AGAGUGCAGGCUGCAGACCCAGAGGCCAGUUGUGGGGUUUUGCAGUGAACCAGCUUCCCGUGGGCACCCUCUGUACUACUUACCAUUGACCCAAACCACCUGUCUGUACAUCCUGACCCAAGGCUGCCCUGUGGACUGAAAUGCACCCCUCUGCCUCUGCCUGUCAAAUCAUACCCAUCCAUCAAGUUCCUGAUGAAACGCCUCCUCUCCAAGCACCGCUUAGCCCAGCUAUGUAUCUGCCUACCUUAUCUCUCUUAACAGACAGUAUGCACCUUGAUGGCAGCUUGUAAUCGCCAAAUGCUUAACGGAAGACAGCGG